CGACCCGGAGCGAAGGUCUCGCGAGGCUUGGGCGCUGCGGCGGCAGGAGGAGGACGGGGAAGGACGGAGCCGAGCCGCGGCUUCCUCCCUCGCUCACUCCCUCGCGCGCUCGCCCGCCCCCUCCCUCCCUCCCCUCCCUUCCCCGGCCCCGGCUCUGGCCCCGGCCCAUUCGCUGUUGGGUCUUCUGCUAGGGAGGAUGUCGGGCUCGUCGCUGCCCAGCGCCCUGGCCCUCUCGCUGUUGCUGGUUUCUGGCUCCCUCCUCCCAGGGCCAGGCGCCGCUCAGAACGCUGGGUUUGUCAAGUCGCCCAUGUCAGAAACUAAGCUCACGGGGGACGCCUUUGAGCUGUACUGUGACGUGGUCGGGAGCCCCACGCCAGAGAUCCAGUGGUGGUACGCAGAAGUCAACCGGGCAGAGUCUUUCAGACAGCUGUGGGACGGUGCUCGGAAGCGCCGUGUCACCGUAAACACCGCCUACGGGUCAAACGGCGUGAGUGUGCUGAGAAUAACCCGGCUCACCUUGGAGGACUCUGGGACUUACGAGUGCAGGGCCAGCAACGACCCCAAGAGGAAUGACUUGAGGCAAAACCCUUCCAUAACAUGGAUUCGAGCCCAGGCCACCAUAAGCGUCCUUCAGAAGCCAAGGAUUGUCACCAGUGAAGAGGUCAUUAUUCGAGACAGCCCUGUUCUCCCUGUCACCCUGCAGUGUAACCUCACCUCCAGCUCUCACACCCUUACAUACAGCUACUGGACAAAGAAUGGGGUGGAACUGAGUGCCACUCGUAAGAAUGCCAGCAACAUGGAGUACAGGAUCAAUAAGCCGAGAGCUGAGGAUUCAGGCGAAUACCACUGCGUAUAUCACUUUGUCAGCGCUCCUAAAGCAAACGCCACCAUUGAAGUGAAAGCCGCUCCUGACAUCACUGGCCAUAAACGGAGUGAGAACAAGAAUGAAGGGCAGGAUGCCACGAUGUAUUGCAAGUCAGUUGGCUACCCCCACCCAGACUGGAUAUGGCGCAAAAAGGAGAACGGGAUGCCCAUGGACAUUGUCAACACCUCUGGCCGCUUCUUCAUCAUCAACAAGGAAAAUUACACUGAGUUGAACAUUGUGAACCUGCAGAUCACGGAAGACCCUGGCGAGUAUGAAUGUAACGCCACCAACGCCAUUGGCUCCGCCUCUGUUGUCACUGUCCUCAGGGUGCGGAGCCACCUGGCCCCACUCUGGCCUUUCUUGGGAAUUCUGGCUGAAAUUAUCAUCCUUGUGGUGAUCAUUGUUGUGUAUGAGAAGAGGAAGAGGCCAGAUGAGGUUCCUGACGAUCAUCAGGCAGAUUGAGCUUGAGGAGAAUCCAAGUCAAGCCUAGAAGCCACCCCAAGAUCGCAGGCCACCUGGCCUUUCAGGCAGAUUUAAGCUGGACCAAUGAAAACCAACUCUACCAACAAUCACAAAGAUAAAAACCUGCGCCAGAGAAACACAAAUUAAGUACUGCUUACAAUAUCUUUAGGUUCCUGAAACUGGUGGCAACAUGACCUGCUAAAUUUUCUGCUUGGACCUCUUUGGUUCUCUCCCCUUUCAAGUGAGCAGCACCACAAUGACUGUCUAAAGCAUGCCUUAUUUAGCCUCUCCUGUAAGGGUGAUCUAGCCAGGUACAUUUUAAACAAUGCUUCAGUGUAGAAGGUGUAAACUAUUUUGGGCUUGAUGUGCUGUGAAUGUUGCUUUUUUUCCUUUGUUAAAAUAUUUAAAUAGAAGUGAAAAGGUCCUCUGAGGAUCAGAUCAUGCAUGCGCCAUUUUUUACUUAAUGCAGCUGUUAAAUUGGCAAAGCUCUAAAAUGCACUGCUGCCAUCUAGUGAUACAUUUUUGUAAAGUACAGCAAAACCUACAGAUAUAUACAGUAUAUAAAUAUAUAUAUAUAUAUUUAUAUUUUUGGGGGUGGGAGAAAUCCAAAAUAAAGUAAAUGCUUGUUUCAUUUUUAAGCUGCUGAUAUUCAUUCCUUAUUGUAUGUUGUCAUGAGGAAAUUGUGCAGUUCUGGUACAUAAAGAUGAGUAAUAUAAACUGAAAUCUAUAAUUUUAAGGGCUUAACCUGUGACUUUAAUAAGCUGGAACAGUCCACUGAAUGGGUAUAAUGAAUUGCAGUAUAUACGUAUGAUUGCUUUUUAAGUGAUUAUCUUUUCUUUUGUUAAGUCAUGUAAAUUCAUAAAUCCUUUUGCACUGAUGUGUUGAACCUUAUUCUUGUACAUUCAAUCAAGGCAAACUUUUAUAAUUUUUCUUUUGUUUCCAAUGACCUUGAAAUGUUAUAGCAUGGUGAUAUUCUAUGCAACUAUAGUUAUACUUUUUGGUUUGACACUGUAUUUUUUCACAUUGAUUUACUGGUUGAUGAUAGAUUUUAUAACCUAACAGGGUUCUCAUGCGGUGCGUAACUGUAGAUGCAUGUACUUGUGUUUUGUGUAAUUAUUGAAGUGCAAUGAUGUAUAAAAGUGGAUUCACCUGUUUUUAAAAAUAAAACAUUGAUAAAAGGUG